AGUGGCGCACGGGUGAGUAACGCGUAUGCAACCUGCCUUUAACAGAGGGAUAGCCCAUAGAAAUGUGGAUUAAUACCUCAUAGUUCUUUUGUUCCGCAUGGGACAGAAGAUAAAGCUCCGGCGGUUAAAGAUGGGCAUGCGUGACAUUAGUUAGUUGGUGAGGUAACGGCUCACCAAGACUACGAUGUCUAGGGGUUCUGAGAGGAUGAUCCCCCACACUGGUACUGAGACACGGACCAGACUCCUACGGGAGGCAGCAGUGAGGAAUAUUGGUCAAUGGGCGCAAGCCUGAACCAGCCAUCCCGCGUGCAGGAUGACGGCCCUAUGGGUUGUAAACUGCUUUUAUACACCAAGAAACUUUCGGACGUGUCCGGAACUGACGGUAGUGUAUGAAUAAGCAUCGGCUAACUCCGUGCCAGCAGCCGCGGUAAUACGGAGGAUGCGAGCGUUAUCCGGAUUCAUUGGGUUUAAAGGGUGCGUAGGCGGCUUUUUAAGUCAGUGGUGAAAUCCUGCCGCUUAACGGUAGAAUUGCCAUUGAUACUGAAGAGCUUGAGUACAAUUGAGGUAAGCGGAAUGUGUAGUGUAGCGGUGAAAUGCUUAGAUAUUACACAGAACACCGAUUGCGAAGGCAGCUUACUAAACUGUCACUGACGCUGAUGCACGAAAGCGUGGGGAGCGAACAGGAUUAGAUACCCUGGUAGUCCACGCC
rnacentral:rRNA from 1 species